AGAAGUAUAAGGACGGUGUGUACAUACCUCCCAACAUAGAGGGUUUGGAUUGGUUGUUCUUUGAGAGGAUUCGAACUGGCAAGAUUAGAUUCAAGUUCAACAACUUAACUCAAUCUGUAGAUAUGAUUCAAAUGUGAUUAAAUUAAAUGGACAAAUAAAAAUAAAAAAAUUUAAAGAAAACUAUUUUGAAAUUAGAAAUAUAAAGAGGGAGCCUAUAUACCGCCGCCAGCAGGGUUCAACUGGAUGUUUUUCCACCAGCUUUCAGUUCUAAUACAAGACCAAGAACAAGAACAAGAACACGAAUAUGAGCAGGAAAAAGAACAAGAAUAAGAACAAGAUUAAGAACAAGAACAA